rfam:Schistosoma haematobium scaffold347_5, whole genome shotgun sequence.
GCACUGCUGAGGAGUCUCAUACUUGGACGAAACGGCCGUCUAGUGC